rfam:Freshwater sediment metagenome lwFormate_C493, whole genome shotgun sequence.
CCUGCUAUGCGACUAGCAGUAGCCUAGGGAGACAUGCGUCACUGGUAACGGUGGGGUGUGAAGCUCUCCUGACAAUGUAGCCCCCGAAAGGGUGCCGUCCAGUCGUGAGACAGGCGGUAGAGGCUC